GAUCUGACCCUCUGUUGAUCUGACCCUCUGUUGAUCUGACCCUCUGUUGAUCUGACCCUCUGUUGAUCUGACCCUCUGUUGUUCUGACCCUCUGUUGAUCUGACCCUCUGUUGAUCUGACCCUCUGUUGAUCUGACCCUCUGUUGAUCUGACCCUCUGUGGAUCUUCCCUCUGUUGUUCUGACCCUCUGUUGAUCUGACCCUCUGUUGAUCUGACCCUCUGUUGAUCUGACCCUCUGCUGUGGAUCUUUUGCUCCCUCAGGGUGAAGAAGGCGUUGCCGAUGCAGAUCGACGGGGAGCCGUGGAUGCAGCCUCCCUGCACGAUCCACAUCACUCACAAGAACCAGGCCCGCAUGCUGAUGGGUCCUCCGAGAGGGUCUUCCGGUUUCUUCAAAUAAAAGGAGCCCCUGCCCCUGCACUGGUUUACUGUAAAUAACCCCCUUUUUAGGAAUAAACCAAAGCAGUCUGAAUGUCGUAGAAGAAAACCUGCAUCUCUGUAACCGACGCAUGGCGCUGUAUGGAAACUCCGGUUAGUUUGCAUCGUGGAAAUAUGAUGUUUUUUUUGUAUUAAUACUCCACUCUCGCUGCCAUAUUUAAAGUGAAUAUAUAUCACGCUAACAGAAGUGUACUCAGCUUCCUGUGCCUUCACCUGUUCCCUUUAUGUCGGCUGUUAAUAGAACAGAGUGUCGUCGUGCACUUUGGAUAUUAUCCACGUGGUGUUGCUGUUUUCUCUGUGGCCGUAAAACAUCAUAUUUACUAUGUUUUUGGGAAUUUUAUUAUUCAUGACUACGGAGGCCCGGGAGUGACAAAACAGCAAAAAAUCAAACAUGUUUAAUUUAGAGGUAGAAUUGAGCUGAGUCGUGUUAAAUUAGCUUUCAUAAUAAUUAAAUAACGUGUGGGCAUGGUAUUGAUUAAUUAACACACAAAUGCAUGACUUGUUGAAUGCUGAGGUAUGAAUUUCGUUUUUUUUGGGAAGAAGUGAAAUGAUGAUUACGUAAGGGCAUGUCCUCUCAUUUGAAUCAAGAAAUACAUUUAUAUUAUACUAGUCGUUAACUACUAGUUAUACUAUUCGAUAACUACUAGCGAGAUUUGUUCCCGUAAAAUGUUAAAGUGAUGCCAGAAAACAAUAUUUCUGUUCCUCAAAUUUUUUAUAAUUCCUCCAGAAAUCUGAGUAUCAAACAGAGCGUCAGACGGCAGCUUUGUUUACACGGAGCUCCGACGUCACGUUGUUGUUGUUGUUGUUGUUGUUGUUGUUUACGUCCACGGCUACUAAUUGAUAUAUCUUAUAAGCAAGAUCAGCGCCACAGUACUCAUAUCUUUUAGAAACAGCCCUGUUGAGAAAAAAUGAAAAAAAAAAAAAA